GCACGGACAACGCCGGGGUGUUGACCUGUCAGUCAAUCACAGUUCUACAUUUACUGUCCCAGAGGGACAUUCUCAACUGGAAUAUCUAGUCCAGUGUGUGGUGGUCUACCGCCGCCGCAGCGUCACCGACCUCCUUCAGGAACAGGUCAAACUCUUCGUCCAGCUCCUCCUUGGUCAGUCUGUGAGACAUGUCCAGCCAAAAGGGACCCAGACCGCUGACAAAGACAAGGAGAAGGGACACGGCGUGUGUGACUCACAUUAUCAAACAGUAAAAGUCGACAUAGGAUUAUCGUUCUUUUCAUUGAGACCCCGGGCGCCAUUCGCCGACCUGAUUGGCUAGAAACCAGCGCGUCAUCAGGAAUAACACCCAAUGGACAGACGGGGGUGGACCAUAAGAUGAGGACGCGUCUCAAAGUCGCUGGGCUGCAUCCUUCGACAACCACACAGGCCGAACCGAACGGUCUGUCCUACUUCCUGCGGUGUCAUCAGCGUUACCUCGGCUGCAACCUGCUGAGCCUGAUAAGUUUAAUAAAGUUUUUAAUAAAGUUAAAAAUAUUUAGAAAUUAAAAAUAAAGUGUACCAGCGAACAGACAAGUGCAGUGUGAAAGAAAGUGACCGGUGGAAUGUCAGAGUCAGUCCAGUUAUUUUAAAUUCAAAUGAAAUCAGUUAAUGUAUAAUACAUAAUUUAUUACUAAUUUAAAAUUACUCUCAUCUAAAAGUACUGCAAUCUUAAGUCAGAG
ensembl:lncRNA